GUUAGGAUUUCCCCUCUUGUUUGUGACAGGAAACAAACAAGAAUUCUGCAUGUCAAGUGUUUGAAGAUAUUUCCGAGAGAUAACCCAUCAACCCAUCAAACCAUCAACCCAAUGCUGUUGAAAAACUUAUGGAACAUUUCUUUUCUCCUUGAGUAGGGGUGGUAGUGAUUUGACAACCACAACCAUUGGUAAAGCUCUGGGGUUACGAGAAAUUCAGUCAAUUUGAGGAGAAGUUUGAGGAGAUCAAUGGUGAUGAGGCAUCCCCUAGUAUUCCUUUGACAUCAGGGUUUGAUGGAAAUUCAGCUACACCAAUGGUAACUGAAGAAAGCAGAAAUGACACUGAAAAGCAGGGUCAAGAAGAUCAUAGAUUAUGCUCUGAUAUAAAUGCCUCACAAGACUUUGUGAGUGGGAUCAUGAAGACUGUCCCAGAAGUUGAUAGCGAUGCAGAUUACUGGCUUUUACCAGAUGGCGAUGUUAGCAUUACAGACAUGUGGACAGAGCAUAUCCUAUACUCUUGAGCUUGUGUGCCUAUGUGGGUUUUGAGAUUGUGAGGACAUUAAGAGGGCCAGGCUGCAAAAAUGCAGCAGUUCUUUGAGUGGUCCUCAAAAAGGAAAGUUGGUGUUUUUAAUUUAUGCUAAUUUUGUACCCAGCUUACCUUUGUGCAUAUCUAAUUUUGGAUGUUGUAUUGAGUGGAUGAUUAUUACAUCUGGUCUGUUUUUGAAGCCUAUCCUAGAGGGCUGUGUCUGGAGGUAUUUUUCUGCUCCUUUUGUUGUAUGCUGCUGCUAUAUGCUUUGCUGCCAGCUGCUGCUCUAUCUAUUCCUUACUGCUGUGGCCUUAUGCUAUUUGCUAUUGUGGGAUUCAGAAAGUGCAGGAAUAGAUGAUACAUGCACUGAAGUUGUAUGCAACAAUUAUGAUGGAACAAUGGUUGACCCUACAUUAGAAUUGUUGACCAAUACUUUAAAUGUCUAUUCAGGAGACAGUUCAGUGCUUCUUUUUCAAAUGUGGAAGUUUCUGCUUCUUUUGGGAACGGUGAAGGCUUCCAAAAUGCAAGGAGUAUCUCAGAUCGAGAAGAGCGUUCUACAUUAGAGGAAGAUACAUUGCCAAAUUCUGUUGUUGAUAGGGUGAAUGUUGUAGAGGUUCCCAAUCAGAGCUCAUUGGAUACAAUAUCGCAAGAAUGCUCUCUGUCGUUGUUGUCGAUUUGCAGUACGGCGCAGCAACGGCGGCUUCUAAGAACUCAUGGGUAUGUCAAUUUCAGUAUUACAUUUAGUAUUUUCUGGGGAGUAUAUGUAGGAAGUAUGCCUUCUUUAAUAGGAAUACUACAGCAUAAUGGCACUGUAACCAUAGGAACAUUACGUUGGUCAUGCUUGGUAAAGUGUUGUUCUUAUGGAUUUUACUUGAUAUUUUGAUACGAUGUUGCAAAAAUUGAAAUUCAAAUGGUCAUUAGUUUAUUAGUUUAAUAGAAGCUAUGCUAAUCUUUUUGGGUGUAUCCAUCUUUGGAGGCUAUUAUGAAUUUAACUGAAGAAUGGACUAUAGUUUCCAUGGUGAUGAGACAGUGGCUGGAAGAAAGUGAGAACAAGAGAUAACUUUUAUUCACCCAAAAAAAGAUUUAUAACUUGCUUUCCUAUAUAGUUUGAUUUAGAAGAAUAUUUCCAUGUUUAGUUGUAAGGAAUUGCAUUUGUUGAUAAUUAACUUUUGGAAGAUCUUUUGUGGUGUAUUGUAUUAUAUUUUGAUUUUCAAUUUGGUAAAAGAAAUGGAGCUGUAUCAUUUUCUAUGGGUUGAUUUACUUGGAAAUACUUGUAAUUUGUAAAAUUUAUUAUUUUUUCUUUAGAUAAUAUUUGUGAAAUGAUUUUCACACUUUUCUUUUAACCUUUCACAACGGGAGUGUGAGAGGCUAACGGGGGAGAGUGAAUAUAAUUUCUCUAAUAUUAUUAUUCAAUAGAAUGUAGAUCCAUUGCAAUAUUUUGAAUUUUAUCAAGGUCAGUUUUGUGGUAAUUGGCAUUUGAGGCCACCUUUAUUAUCAAUUCUAACUUGCUUUGGAAUUUUCUGUUUCUAUUUACAGCAUUCAUGGGCAAUGUGCAGCAACUAUGAAAUCUCUGUUAAGAGUAACUAUAACUUUGAAAAACCUUUCUUGCACCUUGCCAGGAAGCUUGCAGGGCACGAAGCUGAGCUUGCUGCAGUGGCUAGCCAGCCCCUUCCUGAUGAUGAUGACGAUGCAUUUGACUAAUGCUCAUGGCUUUGGCUUUUUGCUAUCAUUUUUCGUGCUCCUUUAGUUAAUAUGAGUUCUA